GAGAAUUCAGACAUUAACCCUUUCUGUGUUCCUCUGUGCUUCCUUCUGCUCCAUGGCAGUGUGAAAUAGUAAGCUAUUAUAAACAAAGGGUAAACUAACCCAUUCUGUAAUGAAUCCCCUGCAAGUAUUCUGUGCCAGUGUGGCUGCAAUGCAUUGACUGCUAUGAACUUACUCUGUGCCAGGGCAGUGUGUAAUUCAUUGCCCUCCUUGUAUUAACCCAUCAUAUGCCA